rnacentral:rRNA from 1 species
ACGGGGUGCAGCAGGCGCGAAACCUUUGCAAUGUGCGCAAGCACGACAAGGUUAAUCCGAGUGAUUCCUGCUAAAGGAAUCUUUUGUUAGUCUUAAAAUCACUAUUGAAUAAGGGGUGGGCAAGUUCUGGUGUCAGCCGCCGCGGUAAAACCAGCACCUCAAGUGGUCAGGAGGAUUAUUGGGCCUAAAGCAUCCGUAGCCUGCUCUGUAAGUUUCCGGUUAAAUCCAUUAGCUCAACUAAUGGCCUGCCGGAAAUACUGCAGAGCUAGGAAGUGGGAGAGGUAGACGGUACUCGGUAGGAAGGGGUAAAAUCCUUUGAUCUAUUGAUGACCACCUGUGGCGAAGGCGGUCUACCAGAACACGUUCGACGGUGAGGGAUGAAAGCUGGGGGAGCAAACCGGAUUAGAUACCCGGGUAGUCCCAGCUGUAAACGAUGCAGACUCGGUGAUGCCCUGGCUUGUGGCCAGUGCAGUGCCGCAGGGAAGCCGUUAAGUUUGCCGCCUGGGAAGUACGUACGCAAGUAUGAAACUUAAAGGAAUUGGCGGGGGAGCACCACAAGGGGUGAAGCCUGCGGUUCAAUUGGAGUCAACGCCGGG